GGGACUUCACCUACACGGAGCCCGGCCAGUAGGUAUACAUGGGUGAGAGUAGGUCGGGCACUGGGACUUCACCUACACAGAGCCCGGCCAGUAGGUAUACAUGGGGUUGAGUAGGUCGGGCACUGGGACUUCACCUACACGGAGCCCGGCCAGUAGGUAUACAUAGGGUAGAGUAGGUCGGGCACUGGGACUUCACCUACACGGAGCCUGGCCAGUAGGUAUACAUGGGGUAGAGUAGGUCGGGCAUUGGGACUUCACCUACACGGAGCCCGGGCCAGUAGGUAUACAUGGGGUAGAGUAGGUCGGGCACUGGGACUUCACCUACACGGAGCCCGACCAGUAGGUAUACAUGGGGUUGAGUAGGUCGGGCACUGGGACUUCACCUACACGGAGCCCGACCAGUAGGUAUACAUGGGGCUGAGUAGGUCGGGCACUGGGACUUCACCUACACGGAGCCCGGCCAGUAGGUAUACAUAGGGUAGAGUAGGUCGGGCACUGGGACUUCACCUACACGGAGCCCGACCAGUAGGUAUACAUGGGGUAGAGUAGGUCGGGCACUGGGACUUCACCUACACGGAGCCUGACCAGUAGGUAUACAUGGGGCUGAGUAGGUCGGGCACUGGGACUUCACCUACACGGAGCCCGACCAGGAGGUAUACAUAGGGUAGAGUAGGUCGGGCACUGGGACUUCACCUACACGGAGCCCGGCCAGUAGGUAUACGUAAGCUAGAAUAGGCCGGGCACUGGGACACCACCUACACGGAGCCCGGCGCUUAAUUAUUAUCGGUCAGUGCUUGAUUACUUCUCAGCACUAUUUACACCUGGGUGCUGACUUCCAGUGUACACACAUAGCUCACUCCUUAAUAGCCUUUCAUUCACUUGCUGAAGGAGUAAGAACACAUUCCGAAAGGUCGUGUUCCUUAUAAUACAAAACAUGACAAGCCAUAUGUACAACCUCUCACCUUCAUCAUGAAAUGUUGUUAUGAUUUUGAUG
rnacentral:lncRNA from 1 species